rnacentral:rRNA from 1 species
CCUACGGGAGGCAGCAGUAGGGAAUCUUCCGCAAUGGACGAAAGUCUGACGGAGCAACGCCGCGUGAGUGAUGAAGGCUUUCGGGUCGUAAAACUCUGUUGUUAGGGAAGAACAAGUGCUAGUUGAAUAAGCUGGCACCUUGACGGUACCUAACCAGAAAGCCACGGCUAACUACGUGCCAGCAGCCGCGGUAUA